AGGGGCUUAGGAUAGAAUUCAGACCAAGGGCCUUCAAAGCCCUAAGUGAGGGUGAAAAUCCCUCAGCCCCUG
rnacentral:tRNA from 1 species